rnacentral:rRNA from 1 species
ACUCAAAGGAAUUGACGGGGGCCCGCACAAGCAGCGGAGCGUGUGGUUUAAUUCGACGCAACGCGAAGAACCUUACCCAGGCUUGACAUGCAGCUGCACACGGCGGAAACGUCGUGGCCUUCGAGGGUGCUGCACAGGUGCUGCAUGGUUGUCGUCAGCUCGUGUCGUGAGAUGUUGGGUUAAGUCCCGCAACGAGCGCAACCCCUGCCGGUAGUUAUACGUGUCUACCGGGACAGCCGCCUUGAUGGGCGGAGGAAGGCGGGGAUGACGUCAAAUCAGCAUGGCCCUUACGCCUGGGGCGACACACACGCUACAAUGGCCAGGACAGUGCGUCGCGAACCCGCAAGGGGGAGCAAAUCGUAAAAACCUGGUCUCAGUGCAGAUCGGGGGCUGCAACUCGCCCCCGUGAAGGCGGAGUUGCUAGUAACCGCGUAUCAGCCAUGGCGCGGUGAAUACGUUCCCGGGCCUUGCACACACCGCCCGU